GACGAACGCUGGCGGCGUGCUUAACACAUGCAAGUCGAACGGAAAGGCCCUGCUUUUGUGGGGUGCUCGAGUGGCGAACGGGUGAGUAACACGUGAGUAACCUGACCUUGACUUUGGGAUAACUUCAGGAAACUGGGGCUAAUACCGGGUAGGAGCUCCUGCUGCAUGGUGGGGGUUGGAAAGUUUCGGCGGUUGGGGAUGGACUCGCGGCUUAUCAGCUUGUUGGUGGGGUAGUGGCUUACCAAGGCUUUGACGGGUAGCCGGCCUGAGAGGGUGACCGGCCACAUUGGGACUGAGAUACGGCCCAGACUCCUACGGGAGGCAGCAGUGGGGAAUAUUGCACAAUGGGCGGAAGCCUGAUGCAGCAACGCCGCGUGCGGGAUGACGGCCUUCGGGUUGUAAACCGCUUUCGCCUGUGACGAAGCGUGAGUGACGGUAAUGGGUAAAGAAGCACCGGCUAACUACGUG
rnacentral:rRNA from 1 species